GAUGAACGCUGGCGGCGUGCCUAAUACAUGCAAGUCGAGCGAACAGACGAGGAGCUUGCUCUUCUGACGUUAGCGGCGGACGGGUGAGUAACACGUGGAUAACCUACCUAUAAGACUGGGAUAACUUCGGGAAACCGGAGCUAAUACCGGAUAAUAUUUUGAACCGCAUGGUUCAAUAGUGAAAGACGGUUUUGCUGUCACUUAUAGAUGGAUCCGCGCUGCAUUAGCUAGUUGGUAAGGUAACGGCUUACCAAGGCGACGAUGCGUAGCCGACCUGAGAGGGUGAUCGGCCACACUGGAACUGAGACACGGUCCAGACUCCUACGGGAGGCAGCAGUAGGGAAUCUUCCGCAAUGGGCGAAAGCCUGACGGAGCAACGCCGCGUGAGUGAUGAAGGUCUUCGGAUCGUAAAACUCUGUUAUUAGGGAAGAACAAAUGUGUAAGUAACUAUGCACGUCUUGACGGUACCUAAUCAGAAAGCCACGGCUAACUACGUG
rnacentral:rRNA from 1 species